rnacentral:rRNA from 1 species
UUUGAGAGGAUGACCAGUCACACUGGGACUGAGACACGGCCCAGACUCCUACGGAAGGCAGCAGUGGGGAAUUUUCCGCAAUGGGCGAAAGCCUGACGGAGCAAUNCCGCGUGAGGGAUGAAGGUUUGUGGAUUGUAAACCUCUUUUUUCAGGGAAGAUAAUGACGGUACCUGAAGAAUAAGCAUCGGCUAACUCCGUGCCAGCAGCCGCGGUAAGACGGAGGAUGCAAGCGUUAUCCGGAAUUAUUGGGCGUAAAGCGUACGCAGGUGGCAUAUCAAGUCCUUUGUUAAAGCGCGAGGCUCAACCUCGUAAAGGCAGAGGAAACUGGUAAGCUAGAGUAUGGUAGGGGCAGGAGGAAUUCCCAGUGUAGCGGUGAAAUGCGUAGAUAUUGGGAAGAACACCAGCGGCGAAAGCGUCCUGCCGAGCCAAAACUGACACUCAUGUACGAAAGCUAGGGGAGCGAAUGGGAUUAGAUACCCCAGUAGUCCUAGCCGUAAACGAUGGGUAUUAGGUGUUGGGAGUAUCGACCCUCUCAGUGCCGUAGCUAACGCGUUAAGUACCCCGCCUGGGGAGUACGGUCGCAAGAUUGAAACUCAAAGGAAUUGACGGG